rnacentral:rRNA from 1 species
AGUGAACGCUGGCGGUAGGCCUAACACAUGCAAGUCGAACGGCAGCACAGUAAGAGCUUGCUCUUACGGGUGGCGAGUGGCGGACGGGUGAGGAAUACAUCGGCAUCUACUUUUUCGUGGGGGAUAACGUAGGGAAACUUACGCUAAUACCGCAUACGACCUACGGGUGAAAGCAGGAGAUAUUCGGACCUUGCGCGAUUGAAUUAGCCGAUGUCGGAUUAGCUAGUUGGCGGGGUAAAGGCCCACCAAGGCGACGAUCCGUAGCUGGUCUGAGAGGAUGAUCAGCCACACUGGAACUGAGACACGGUCCAGACUCCUACGGGAGGCAGCAGUGGGGAAUAUUGGACAAUGGGCGCAAGCCUGAUCCAGCCAUACCGCGUGGGUGAAGAAGGCCUUCGGGUUGUAAAGCCCUUUUGUUGGGAAAGAAAAGCAGCAGGUUAAUACCCCGCUGUUCUGACGGUACCCAAAGAAUAAGCACCGGCUAACUUCGUG